rnacentral:rRNA from 1 species
UACAGAGGGGGCAAGCGUUGUUCGGAAUUACUGGGCGUAAAGGGCGCGUAGGCGGCCCGCUAAGUCGAACGUGAAAUCCCCGAGCUCAACUCGGGAACUGCGUCCGAUACUGGCGGGCUUGAAUCCGGCAGAGGGGGGUGGAAUUCCACGUGUAGCAGUGAAAUGCGUAGAUAUGUGGAGGAACACCGAUGGCGAAGGCAGCCCCCUGGGCUAACACUGACGCUCAUGCACGAAAGCGUGGGGAGCAAACAGG